rnacentral:rRNA from 1 species
CAUGGCUCAGGACGAACGCUGGCGGCGCGCCUAACACAUGCAAGUCGAACGGAGAAAGAUACAGCUUGCUGGAUUUUUCUUAGUGGCGGACGGGUGAGUAACACGUGAGCAACCUGCCCUUCAGAGCGGGAUAACGUUUGGAAACGAACGCUAAUACCGCAUGACAUCCCGGGAUGGCAUCGUUCUGGGAUCAAAGAUUUAUCGCUGAAGGAUGGGCUCGCGUCCGAUUAGGUAGUUGGUGAGAUAACAGCCCACCAAGCCGACGAUCGGUAGCCGGACUGAGAGGUUGAUCGGCCACAUUGGGACUGAGACACGGCCCAGACUCCUACGGGAGGCAGCAGUGGGGGAUAUUGCACAAUGGGGGAAACCCUGAUGCAGCGACGCCGCGUGAGGGAAGACGGUUUUCGGAUUGUAAACCUCUGUCUUUGGGGACGAAUAGAUGACGGUACCCAAGGAGGAAGCCACGGCUAACUACGUGCCAGCAGCCGCGGUAAUACGUAGGUGGCAAGCGUUGUCCGGAAUUACUGGGUGUAAAGGGAGCGUAGGCGGGUCUACAAGUUGAUUGUAUAAACGAUCGGCUCAACUGGUCGUGGCGAUCAAAACUGUAGAUCUUGAGUGGAGUAGAGGCAGGCGGAAUUCCUAGUGUAGCGGUGAAAUGCGUAGAUAUUAGGAGGAACACCAGUGGCGAAGGCGGCCUGCUGGGCUCUAACUGACGCUGAGGCUCGAAAGCGUGGGUAGCAAACAGGAUUAGAUACCCUGGUAGUCCACGCCGUAAACGAUGAUUACUAGGUGUGGGUGGACUGACCCCAUCCGUGCCGGAGUUAACACAAUAAGUAAUCCACCUGGGGAGUACGACCGCAAGGUUGAAACUCAAAGGAAUUGACGGGGGCCCGCACAAGCAGUGGAGUAUGUGGUUUAAUUCGACGCAACGCGAAGAACCUUACCAGGUCUUGACAUCGAGUGACGAGUGUAGAGAUACGCUUUUCCUUCGGGACACGAAGACAGGUGGUGCAUGGUUGUCGUCAGCUCGUGUCGUGAGAUGUUGGGUUAAGUCCCGCAACGAGCGCAACCCUUAUCCUUAGUUGCUACGCAAGAGCACUCUAGGGAGACUGCCGUGGAUAACACGGAGGAAGGUGGGGAUGACGUCAAAUCAUCAUGCCCUUUAUGACCUGGGCUACACACGUACUACAAUGGCGCUUAACAGAGAGCAGCGACACCGCGAGGUGAAGCAAACCCCUAAAAAGCGUCCCAGUUCGGAUCGUAGGCUGCAACUCGCCUACGUGAAGUCGGAAUUGCUAGUAAUCGCGGAUCAGCAUGCCGCGGUGAAUACGUUCCCGGGCCUUGUACACACCGCCCGUCACACCAUGAGAGCCGGUAACACCCGAAGUCAGUAGCCUAACCGCAAGGAGGGCGCUGCCGAAGGUGGAUUGGUAAUUGGGG